rnacentral:misc_RNA from 1 species
AACGCAUAUUGCGCCCUCUGGUAUUCCGGGGGGCAUGCCUGUUCGAGCGUCAUUGAACUCCCUUCAAGCUUUGCUUGGUGUUGGGCGACACGUCCCGCUGCGACGCGCCCGAAAUGAACUUUUGGCUGCGGGGUCGGACUCCGAGCGCUGCGAGGCGUCUACAGCGUCAUGCGUCUGGGAGGUUCGACCCGGCCGGGCCAGCAAACAACGAAACGGGCCUUCGGGCCCCUUCCACGUUGACCUCGGAUCAGGUAGGGUUACCCGCUGAACUUAA